GGCGGACGGGUGAGUAAUGCCUAGGAAUCUGCCUGGUAGUGGGGGACAACGUUUCGAAAGGAACGCUAAUACCGCAUACGUCCUACGGGAGAAAGCAGGGGACCUUCGGGCCUUGCGCUAUCAGAUGAGCCUAGGUCGGAUUAGCUAGUAGGUGAGGUAAUGGCUCACCUAGGCGACGAUCCGUAACUGGUCUGAGAGGAUGAUCAGUCACACUGGAACUGAGACACGGUCCAGACUCCUACGGGAGGCAGCAGUGGGGAAUAUUGGACAAUGGGCGAAAGCCUGAUCCAGCCAUGCCGCGUGUGUGAAGAAGGUCUUCGGAUUGUAAAGCACUUUAAGUUGGGAGGAAGGGCAGUAAGUUAAUACCUUGCUGUUUUGACGUUACCAACAGAAUAAGCACCGGCUAACUUCGUGCCAGCAGCC
rnacentral:rRNA from 1 species